GGCUCAGAUUAAACGCUGGCGGCAGGCCUAACACAUGCAAGUCGAGCGGUAGCACAAGAGAGCUUGCUCUCUGGGUGACGAGCGGCGGACGGGUGAGUAAUGUUUGGGAAACUGCCUGAUGGUGGGGGAUAACUAGUGGAAACGGUAGCUAAUACCGCAUAAUGUCGCAAGACCAAAGUGGGGGACCUUCGGGCCUCACGCCAUCAGAUGUGCCCAGAUGGGAUUAGCUGUUAGGUGGGGUAAUGGCUCACCUAGGCGACGAUCCCUAGCUGGUCUGAGAGGAUGACCAGCCACACUGGAACUGAGACACGGUCCAGACUCCUACGGGAGGCAGCAGUGGGGAAUAUUGCACAAUGGGCGCAAGCCUGAUGCAGCCAUGCCGCGUGUGUGAAGAAGGCCUUCGGGUUGUAAAGCACUUUCAGCGAGGAGGAAGGGUAAUGUGU
rnacentral:rRNA from 1 species